UACGGGGGGGCAAGCGUUGUUCGGAAUUACUGGGCGUAAAGGGCUCGUAGGUUGCCAACUAAGUCAGACGUGAAAUCCCUCAGCUUAACUGGGGAACUGCGUCUGAUACUGGAUGGCUUGAGUUUGGGAGAGGGACGCGGAAUUCCAGGUGUAGCGGUGAAAUGCGUAGAUAUCUGGAGGAACACCGGUGGCGAAGGCGGCGUCCUGGACCAACACUGACACUGAUGAGCGAAAGCGUGGGGAGCAAACAGG
rnacentral:rRNA from 1 species